rnacentral:rRNA from 1 species
AACGAACGCUGGCGGCAUGCCUAAUACAUGCAAGUCGAACGAUCACUUCGGUGGUAGUGGCGCACGGGUGCGUAACGCGUGGGAAUCUACCCUUGGGUUCGGAAUAACAGUUAGAAAUGACUGCUAAUACCGGAUGAUGACGAAAGUCCAAAGAUUUAUCGCCCAAGGAUGAGCCCGCGUAGGAUUAGCUAGUAGGUGAGGUAAAAGCUCACCAAGGCGACGAUCCUUAGCUGGUCUGAGAGGAUGAUCAGCCACACUGGGACUGAGACACGGCCCAGACUCCUACGGGAGGCAGCAGUAGGGAAUAUUGGACAAUGGGGGCAACCCUGAUCCAGCAAUGCCGCGUGAGUGAUGAAGGCCUUAGGGUUGUAAAGCUCUUUUACCCGAGAUGAUAAUGACAGUAUCGGGAGAAUAAGCUCCGGCUAACUCCGUGCCAGCAGCCGCCGUAAAAC